GAGAUGAGAAUGUGCCUUCGGGAACCGUGAGACAGGUGCUGCAUGGCUGUCGUCAGCUCGUGUUGUGAAAUGUUGGGUUAAGUCCCGCAACGAGCGCAACCCUUAUCCUUUGUUGCCAGCGAUUAGGUCGGGAACUCAAAGGAGACUGCCAGUGAUAAACUGGAGGAAGGUGGGGAUGACGUCAAGUCAUCAUGGCCCUUACGACCAGGGCUACACACGUGCUACAAUGGCGCAUACAAAGAGAAGCGACCUCGCGAGAGCAAGCGGACCUCAUAAAGUGCGUCGUAGUCCGGAUUGGAGUCUGCAACUCGACUCCAUGAAGUCGGAAUCGCUAGUAAUCGUGGAUCAGAAUGCCACGGUGAAUACGUUCCCGGGCCUUGUACACACCGCCCGUCACACCAUGGGAGUGGGUUGCAAAAGAAGUAGGUAGCUUAACCUUCGGGAGGGCGCUUACCACUUUGUGAUUCAUGACUGGGGUGAAGUCGUAACAAGGUAACCGUAGGGGAACCUGCGGUUGGAUCACCUCCUUA
rnacentral:rRNA from 1 species